ACGGUUAUCCUUUAAUACCUGAGUAGUAACAGAUAUAUUCUAAAAAUUUGAAAAAUUUGGCGGUGGUUUAGUCUUGUCAGAGGAACCUGUCUUUUAAACGAUCCACCCCGAAAUAUCUUACUUGAGUUCGUGCAGUAUGUAUACCAUCAUUAUUAGGUAAUUUUUAUAGAAUAAAUUACUGAAAAAUGUCCAUAAAGUGGAAUAUAUUAGAUCGAGGGGCCGCUAAUGCGCAAGUUAAGGGGGGUUACAAUAGUAUUUAUACUCCUACGGAUAAACAAAUGAACCUUUACUUUGAAGGAGGAUUUGGAAGAUAUUUUUUACUACUAAGGUAUUUUAUGAUAACCUUUUGAGAAAGCACGCCCCCCCCGCCAACAAAAAAAAA
rnacentral:rRNA from 1 species